AUGAGAAGUAGGAAUAGAUAUGCAUGUUCUGGGAGUCCCUUUGAGGCAAAUCUGGUUUACUUAAAGACAUGUUUAAGGCAAUUUCCACUUGUUCUUGUUUACAUUUGUGCCAAAGACCUCGAUGAAGGCGUCAAUUCCCAUACCCCAUUGAUAAGUCCUCAAAGAAGGCUAGUGGAUAAGGGUCCGAAAUUGACCCCCACACAUUCUAGUCCAUUUCGUUUCUAG